CCUAGUUAAAAAAAUAUAUGUUAAGUGAGUCUUCAAAAAUAUUAGAAAGGAAGCAUAGCAGGCAUACAACAAUUACUCAUACAACAGAAACAAGAUUAGUCUGCUGAUAGCAAGUCCUUCAAGGUAAAUCCGAAUUAUGGGAUUCUUACAGCAACUGUGUGCACCUCCAAGUCUUCAAAAUUAAACAUGCAUUUUACUAUCUAAAAAUAGGUCAUCCAGCCAAAGCUACAAGUGUUUUGAAAAGCAUUGAUCCUGAAUAUUAAGUUGGUUUACUCAAGCUUCCAAGAAAAAUUAUAUGCCCGAAGUAAAAUGGCCUUUCACCUAAUUUUUUUCAGUAGUCCAUCAAAUUUAGCUGUCACUGUUUUAGCACUAAGUUAACAAUCUUAUAACUUCCACAACAGUAGUAACAUUCUAGUUAGCUAUUUUCUUGCUCUGAAUAAGAAUAUUAUUGUUAAACAAGGAGAGUGUUCCCUAAGAACUUACUAGCCGGCUGGAAAUAUUACAAAUCCCCUCUGCUCCCCCAAUUCUUGCCCUUUUCAUUUACUCAUAGGCAACGGGCAAAAGGGAUUCACCACUCAUUUUUAAGUAGGGUGGCUGAUGGCUGAGACAAGGGGAAAAGCAGCAGACUCAUCCCAUAAUGCUGAGUGGUCAGAAGAAAGGGAAAGGAGAAAGAAGAUACCGGUAACUUUUAUUUAUUUAAAAGGGAAUGCUGCCUUCUGUUAUGCUUUAAAUCUUGCUACAAAAAAAUUCCAGGACAUGGUUUACCCACCAAAAUGGGUGUAAUCAAAGGAAUGGUACUAUAUUUGUUUUUUUGUCAACUGGUUUCCAAGCAGCUUUGGGAGGCACAGGAAGAAGGAAGAUCUCAAGGAGAAGGGGAAAAAUCCAAGUGUCCUCCCCUUUACUCUGCCUGCCAGCAUGGACCAGAUUCCAUCCAUGGCUCUGACUUCUGCCAAGCAUCCCUGACUCCACCAUUCUAGCUCCUCUGGGCAGCCCGGGUUCCCGGCUCUAAAAACACCAUCUCCUCCAUUGUUGCUCCAGUCCAGGAGCGGUAGUGAGCUCCAGCUGCUACUAAUCUCUGAGUAGCCCCACUGUUCCAUUUGGCUUCUCAGCAAUUCCUUCACCUGUGUAACCAGAUUCUCUGUAUUAAAUUCCCUA